rnacentral:lncRNA from 1 species
AAGAGGAUCCAUUCUCCAACUCCUACAAUCGUCGAAGAUACAUCUUCGGCUGAUGUUCCACCAACAUCGGAGAAAAAUCCUCCUCAAUCAUCUCCAAAUGAACCUAUCUCAGCCGAGGUAAUUCCUCAGCCAAUUCUGAUUGACUCCUCUUCUUCUAAUGCUUCAAACGGACUACCUUUACUUUCUCCUUCGUAAAACAGACGCCUUC